rnacentral:rRNA from 1 species
GACAGAGGGGGCAAGCGUUGCUCGGAAUUACUGGGCGUAAAGGGCGCGUAGGCGGGAUGGCAAGUCGGUCGUGAAAUCCCUCGGCUCAACUGAGGAUCGUCGAUCGAUACUGCCGUUCUUGAGGAUUGCAGAGGAGACUGGAAUUCCCGGUGUAGCGGUGAAAUGUGUAGAGAUCGGGAGGAACACCGGUGGCGAAGGCGGCGCUCUGGAACGUUACUGACGCUGAGACACGAAAGCGUGGGGAGCAAACAGG